AACGAACGCUGGCGGCAUGCUUUACACAUGCAAGUCGAACGGUAACAGGCCGCAAGGUGCUGACGAGUGGCGAACGGGUGAGUAAUGCAUCGGAACGUGCCCAGUCGUGGGGGAUAACGCAGCGAAAGCUGUGCUAAUACCGCAUACGAUCUAUGGAUGAAAGCGGGGGACCGUAAGGCCUCGCGCGAUUGGAGCGGCCGAUGUCAGAUUAGGUAGUUGGUGGGGUAAAGGCUCACCAAGCCAACGAUCUGUAGCUGGUCUGAGAGGACGACCAGCCACACUGGGACUGAGACACGGCCCAGACUCCUACGGGAGGCAGCAGUGGGGAAUUUUGGACAAUGGGCGCAAGCCUGAUCCAGCAAUGCCGCGUGCAGGAAGAAGGCCUUCGGGUUGUAAACUGCUUUUGUACGGAACGAAAAGGUUUGGGUUAAUACCCUGGGCCGAUGACGGUACCGUAAGAAUAAGCACCGGCUAACUACGUGCCAGCAGCCGCGGUAA
rnacentral:rRNA from 1 species